GAUGAACGCUGGCGGCGUGCCUAAUACAUGCAAGUCGAGCGAACAGACGAGGAGCUUGCUCCUCUGACGUUAGCGGCGGACGGGUGAGUAACACGUUGAUAACCUACCUAUAAGACUGGGAUAACUUCGGGAAACCGGAGCUAAUACCGGAUAAUAUAUUGAACCGCAUGGUUCAAUAGUGAACGACGGUUUUGCUGUCACUUAUAGAUGGAUCCGCGCCGCAUUAGCUAGUUGGUAAGGUAACGGCUUACCAAGUCAACGAUGCGUAGCCGACCUGAGAGGGUGAUCGGCCACAAUGGAACUGAGACACGGUCCAGACUCCUACGGGAGGCAGCAGUAGGGAAUCUUCCGCAAUGGGCGAAAGACUGACGGAGCAACGCCGCGUGAGUGAUGAAGGUCUUCGGAUCGUAAAACUCUGUUAUUAGGGAAGAACAAAUGUGUAAGUAACUAUGCACGUCUUGACGGUACCUAAUCAGAAAGCCACGGCUAACUACGUG
rnacentral:rRNA from 1 species